rnacentral:lncRNA from 1 species
CUAUAAAUAGAGGCAGAGAGUGUGUGCACUGGGGACUUAGUCCCUGAUCGCGGUUUUCGAACGUGGGUGAUGAGUUCUUUGCUCUGCUCAGUUACUCGGGAGGUGCCUGAAUGUGUGGGGGUGGGAGCGUGGGAGGGGGCUGCCUCCUCUCUCCAUCCCUCGAGCUCUGCCCUCCUUUCUCCUCUCCGUCCCCCCUCAAGGCUCCUCUCCUCCCUUUCCCCCUUCUCUCUGUCUCUCCGUCAGCAUCCCCCCACCCUCUUUCUUCCUCUCCCGUCCGCUUUCUCCUCCCUCUCUCCCCCUCCCGCUCUUUUCUCCCUCUCCCUCCAAGUCUGGCACUGAACGAACUGUUUUGCUUUGCUCCGGGAAGAGUGCAGACACAUAACGUGAAAUCCCGAGCUUUUUGCGUGGUGCAUUUGAGAUGCUUCCUUAUUUAUAUUACCCUCAUUCCCUCACCUCUCCCACCCGCUCAGCAGUCCUUCCAAAUUUCCCUAGAAAUCUGUGUAAAGCAUGCGGAGGGGAAAACAUUUGCACAAAAAGUGAAGGAGCUCGCCAAGGAGUUCCCGUCUAGGUGGUCAACUUGUCCUACACCCAGAGGUCUGCCGAAGGGGUGGCCAUGCCCAGAGGUCACAGAAGCCUGGACCAAUGAGCUCAGCAGUCCCAGGUGAGUGCACAGAGACUCAGCCCCUGGCCUCUUUGCCUGGGCAGCCUCGAAGGGCC